rnacentral:lncRNA from 1 species
CUUGAGUUCCUCUCUUUAACUCAGGUGACCUGAGUGUUUCUAUGUGUUGCUUUCUUAGGUGUCUUCAGUGAGUGCUGGGAGGGUAAAUCAGGCAAGAUCAGAACUUCAGACAUGAAUUUAGUCACCUAUGAUGACGUGCAUGUGAACUUCACUCAGGAAGAGGGGGCUUUGCUUGAGACUUCUCAGAAGAAUCUCUACAAAGAUGUGAUGCUAGAGACCUAUAGGAAUCUCUCAGCUAUAGGGUACAUUUGGGAAGAACAUACAAUUGAAGACCAUUUUCAAACUUCUAGAAGUCAUGGAAGGCAUGAAAGAAGUUGUAUUGCAGUGCAACCCUCUGAAUUUAUUCAAUGUGGUAAAGCCUUUGCAUAUCAUAGUCUAUAGACAAAGGCAUGAAAGAACACAUAAUGGGGAGAAAGACUAUUACUGUAACCAAUGUGGUAAAGCCUUUGUAAUAAGCAGUCAUCUCCGAAUACAUAAACGAAGAAAUACAGGAGAGAAACCCUAUGAA